GCCCGCUCAGAAACUACAAAGGAAUUGACGGGGACCCGCACAAGCGGUGGAUGAUGUGGUUUAAUUCGAUGCAACGCGAAAAACCUUACCCACCUUUGACAUGUACGGAAGCCUUUAGAGAUAGAGGCGUGCUCGAAAGAGAGCCGUAACACAGGUGCUGCAUGGCUGUCGUCAGCUCGUGUCGUGAGAUGUUGGGUUAAGUCCCGCAACGAGCGCAACCCUUGUCAUUAGUUGCUACAUUCAGUUGGGCACUCUAAUGAGACUGCCGGUGACAAGCCGGAGGAAGGUGGGGAUGACGUCAAGUCCUCAUGGCCCUUAUAGGUGGGGCUACACACGUCAUACAAUGGCUGGUACAAAGGGUUGCCAACCCGCGAGGGGGAGCUAAUCCCAUAAAGCCAGUCGUAGUCCGGAUCGUAGUCUGCAACUCGACUACGUGAAGUCGGAAUCGCUAGUAAUCGUGGAUCGGAAUGUCACGGUGAAUACGUUCCCGGGUCUU
rnacentral:rRNA from 1 species